UACGUAGGGACCAAGCGUUGUCCGGAAUCAUUGGGCGUAAAGAGCGUGUAGGCGGCUUGUUAAGUCUUGCGUGAAAUCUCGGGGCUCAACCCCGAGCGGUCGUGAGAAACUGGCAGGCUAGAGUGCGGGAGAGGAGAGUGGAAUUCCUGGUGUAGCGGUGAAAUGCGCAGAUAUCGUGAGGAAGACCAGUUGCGAAGGCGGAUCUCUGGGCAGUUCCUGACACUGAGGCACGAAGGCCAGGGGAGCAAACGGG
rnacentral:rRNA from 1 species